GAUCAACGCUGGCGGCGUGCAUAACACAUGCAAGUCGAACGAUGAAGCUUAACUGAUUUCUUCGGAAUGAUUUUAAGUGGCUUAGUGGCGGACGGGUGAGUAACGCGUGAGUAACCUGCCUUGCACAAGGGGAUAGCCGUUGGAAACGACGAAUAAUACCCUAUGAUAUAAACUCUUCGCAUGAAGGGCUUAUCAAAGAUUUAUCGGUGUAAGAUGGACUCGCGUCUGAUUAGCUAGUUGGUGGGGUAACAGCCUACCAAGGCAACGAUCAGUAGCCGGCUUGAGAGAGUGUACGGCCACAUUGGGACUGAGACACGGCCCAGACUCCUACGGGAGGCAGCAGUGGGGAAUUUUGCACAAUGGGGGAAACCCUGAUGCAGCGACGCCGCGUGAUUUAGAAGGCCUUCGGGUUGUAAAAAUCUUUUGUAUGGGAAGAAAAUGACAGUACCAUACGAAUAAGGACCGGCUAAUUACGUG
rnacentral:rRNA from 1 species